rnacentral:pre_miRNA from 14 species
UUGUAGCUGAUGGUUGAAAGACCCCCAGAGCUGGGAGACUCUCACUCAAGUCUUGGGAUGAUGCGACCCCCCAAGAACUCACACAAGACC